rnacentral:tRNA from 1 species
GGGGCUGCAGCUCAGUGGUAGAGCAUCUGCCUUGCAUGUAGAAGGUCCCAGGUUCAAUCCCUAAUGGCAUCCCCA